AGUGCUCAGGGGAUCAUCUUCAAUCUUGGGAAUUAGAAACUCUUUGAAAUCUCGAUAAUAUCUAUGAGUCAUCAGUGUCCUGAGAAGCUAAACGUCCUACUAAGGAUCCUGCAAAGGGAAAACAGAAGAGGAACUUGCACUUUUUGAGAACUUGCUGUGUGCCAUAAGCCUAAGUCCCUAUGUGGGAAGGAUUCUACCCACACAUGACAGAGGAGGAGACUGAAGCAUGAAAAAGAAAUGGCGUUUUGCUGGAGAAAGCAGCAUAGCGGAAUGUAAAGCGGUAAAGCGUGUAUGCUCUGGAGCCACAGACCUAGAUGGUGAAGUCUAGCUCUGGUACUUGACAGAUCCCAUUCUCCAUCAUCUCCACCCUGCUCUGUGACCCAGUCGGCUGCUCUGCUUGAACGACAUCAACAAGCUUCCUGCAUCCUCAUGUCUAGCUGAACUCAACCAGUGGGAAGUACCAGCAGGAGAUCAAAAGAAAGGAGCAAAGUACAGUCAAGAUGUUUAUUUAUUUCUCUGUUCUUUUCUGCCAAAGGUACACAAAAUCAGACACUAGUUAAAGGCAUUCAGGACAGAUUUUAUAUGGUAAUAACUAUCGCAAUGGAGUAGAGAGUCCAGUGUGAACUGAACUUCACCAAAACAAAAAGCUGGAGUCUUUUUAAAGGCUGGGGUAUGCUAGGGGAAAGGCACUGACAGGAAGAAGAACAGGGCUUGGUCCAUGGGCUUAGGCCAUCUGAGUCUGUUAACUGGUGUUUAUCAAAGUUGGGUUCCUGAUCCCUGCAGAGACUAGGAGACAAGGGCCCUAUCUUCAGGUGCUGGCUGGAACAAAUAGUAAAUUCUUUUGGCAGGCUUUCCCAGGCAGGAACCUAAGGGGACUGGAAUCAUAAUCCUAGGGAUGUGACCUUGAGCUGUUAGACUAUGCUAGGGUUUACAUCUCUUCGUGCAGAGGAUUGGAUGGAGUCCUUAAGGGUCAAGACAGUUCUCUUUUCAGUUCUCAUUUCCCUAACAGGUCCACUGUGGGAUGGCUGCUUCUCUUGACCCAUGGUUUCAGCUCCUGACAGGUAGCCACUCCAUGCAGCCCUUCUCUCAUUGGGUUCUGGUGACCAUCCUCUCCUCUUGCCUCUUUGGGUAUAACAGUGGAUAGUGAUACUCUUGAUAAUAAUACUAUUCCUCAUGGUUUUCCUAUACUGUGACCACACUUUUGUAAAGAGUGAUUUAAUAAAUAUGCAGUAACUGUGG
rnacentral:lncRNA from 10 species